UGCUCCAGGUUCUUGUUGGCAACUAUUAUCAUCGAACAAGAAAAAAUUUGGGAGUCAUUUCUGAAAAGAGUUAGGAACCUUGGAAGAUUUGACAGCCUCCCGAGAGGGGCAGAAAUGUGCCUGAGUGAGGGUGCAGAGGAAGGAAAAGACCAUGGUGAACUCUGAAAGAGAGGAAAUGAAAGCAACAGGCAAAUCUCUGAAGGCAGAAAAGACAUAUAGGAUGGCUUGAAGGCAAAAGAACUGGAAGAUGAAAGAAGAUAUUUCUGUGUGAAAGGACCAUGUAAAAAGGAAGGAGCUUUUAAAGAGCCCGCUAGACUUGAGGCAUGUGGUGAUGCCUUCAGAACUACUGAAUCAUUCUAGAGCGGGCAGAAAGAGGGAGCUGGGCUGAUCCAGGUUAGAAAUAAAUCUCAAACACAUUCACACAUGCACACACACACACGCAAUAACACACAUACUCUCACACACAUUUGUUCUUAAACAAAUACAGGGUUGUACAAGCA
rnacentral:lncRNA from 1 species